rnacentral:lncRNA from 1 species
CAGGGGUGCAGCGGAGGGGCUGAGCAUGUGCUGUUUGGUAUUCACAAUGGCCUGGGUUUCAUCCUCAGCACCAAAAGGGUAAAAAAGUGCUUGAUCCAAAGCAGGCAGGGUGGAUUGUAUUACUGUACAGUUUGCUGCCAGCCACUCUUUUCUCUUUUACAAAUGACGCUUCCUUCCCACCCAUUCGCUGCAGGCUCAUUCACGUCACUUGCAUUGACCAAUAGCACAAGAGCAGAGUGUCACGUGUGUACCAGUCGGGAGGUUAAAUCCAGGAACUUCCUAGGCUCCUGUUAAACUAUUUGCAGUUUGAAAUCGGAUAUGGUAACAUGACCAUCGAAAGAGCCAACACUAUAAGUCAAGACUUCACUCCCCCUUCCCCGAAGUUGGUUUAGCAGCUCUCCAGAGAGUGGUCUCAGCACGCCUCCGGGAGACUGACGCUGGAGGAUCACAAAGUCGAACCCGUCCUGGGCAAUUUCUAGACUUGGCGAGACCUGGUCUCAAAGUGAAAAAUGUAAAGGGGCUGGGGCGGGGGGAUGUUUCAGACUGGAGUCCAGAAUAGAGAAAACCGGCGGAGUAGCCCCCAGAGCUGCUGCAAAUGACGUAACUGCUUUGGGAAGUGGACCUCUGUUCGGAGCUCGGCGUUGCCGGGUUGUUCCUCACCCGCGCCCAGGGCAACAGAACAGGCCGCCAGGCUCUAGGCGCGGAUUUCUCUUCCCAGCCGGGGUCGAUCCGAAUCUUGGAAGCUGAAAGACCACUACGCAGGGACAGCAGCCCCUUCCCGAGCCUCGCCGAGCCCCGGGGACACCCGAGACUCGAGAAUUGGGUUCUGUGUCUUUAAGGGGAGCGGGGGCUUCCGGCGGGGNNNNNNNNNNNNNNNNNNNNGGCUGGGUCCAGCGCCUCCUCGCCGCGGCUCCACUCCCACCCCAAGCCUUGCAGGCCACGCCCUCCGCCGUCCCCGCCGGGUCCCUCCUUCCCCUCAGUGCUGAACAAAGGGACUCGGUCCUCCAGACGCCCUGGGCGGUUCUCUGUGAACACUCACUGUCCGCCCAGGACCCGAAGCUUCCCAAAGUCGAGGGUUUUUGGCCCUGGGAAAGGAAGAAAGAAGGACUCGCCCCAGCUGAACUUGUGAUCAGCAGCGACUACAAGGACACCGUGUUUCAGAGCCGCUGCUGUAGAAAUAGCUUAUCCUUCCCAGUUGUGUUUAAUCAGAGAGCAUCUGGACUUUUAUCAUCUCCCUGUCUCUGAUUCAGACGCUGUCAGAUGACACAGGCACUGGAGAGCUCACUGAGGUAAAUUCUCUGCAGGAUCCAGGAGUCUUUCCUUUGUUGUCUCACUGCCAUGAAAUGUCCCCAGCAAGCUUGUCUAGGAUGCUACUCACUUCUACUCCUAAAGAAACAAAAUUUUAAUCCUCAAAGUUUUAUGUUUUUGUUCAUUUCUGAAGUUUGCAGUACCCAGAGAAGAAUGACCCCUGUUCCAAAGAGAAAAAAAGUAACAUUUUUUAAGGACGUGAAGACUAGUUAGAUCUAUGCCCACAACACUUACUUUGGUAGCUUCUUUCCAUCCAAGAAGUUCCGCUUUCCACCAGUAGUGUAAAUGUUACCUGGAGUAAUUUGAUCUCAGAGAGUAUUCCUAGUACGAGAAGGGUGAGACCCUGCUAAUUUGCUUUUCUGUGGCAUCCACACGGUUAGUAUUAUAAGGAGGAAGAAGACCCAGGGAUCAGUAAGAGUUGCACGUGUAAUAAACGGAGGCAAAGCAUAGUCAGCUAAUCACAGCCAUAGUUGUGUGUGUAUAAUAAUUGCUCCUCUUAUUCUUUGGAUGCAGAUGCUGCUGAAACGAUGCCCAGUGAAGAGCUUGCGCUGACCAUGGAAGAAAGCAGCAGUCAAGAUGAAGCUGAGGCGCAGGUCGGCCCGUGUCCUGGCCGCCUGGGGGCGUCCUACGCCGAGGCCUGGGGGUACUUCCACCUGGCAUCUUCGCGCCCCGGGUACCCGUCGGGCCGCUGGGCCACCUGCCGGCUGUGCGGG